rnacentral:tRNA from 1 species
AAGAUUUUAAGUUAUUAAAACUAUCAACCUUCAAAGUUGCAAAAAAAAGUAUUAAUCUUUUAAAUCUUA